rnacentral:rRNA from 1 species
AACGAACGCUGGCGGCGUGGAUAAGACAUGCAAGUCGAACGCUGAUUAUCGGGUAGCAAUAUUCGGUGGUUGGAGUGGCGCAAGGGUGCUUAACACGUGGGCAAUUUGCCGUGAAGUUUGGGAUAACCCCGAGAAAUCGGGGCUAAUACCGGAUGUGACUUUUGGUGGGCAUCCACUGGAUUUCAAAGUUGGGGACCGCAAGGCCUGACGCUUUACGAUAAGCCCGCGGCCUAUCAGCUAGUUGGUGAGGUAACGGCUCACCAAGGCUAGGACGGGUAGCUGGUCUGAGAGGACGACCAGCCACACUGGAACUGAGACACGGUCCAGACACCUACGGGUGGCAGCAGUCGAGAAUUUUUCUCAAUGGGGGAAACCCUGAAGGAGCGACGCCGCGUGGGGGAUGAAUGGCUUCGGCCCGUAAACCCCUGUCAUUCGGGACCAAAUGUUGUCCAUGAACAAUGGGCAGCUUGAUUGUACCGGAAGAGGAAGGGACGGCUAACUCUGUGCCAGCAGCCGCGGUAAU